CACCCGGCAGGUAGCUGCGGUCUCUGCCCCCUGCAGACGCCUCUCCUUCUCCCCUGGGACGGAGGCUUUCUUUCCAAGGUACUCCUCUCUACCUCUCUACUUAUAAACCAACUGCAGGAAAGUGCAUGUCAGGUUGUCAGCCAUAAGCAGGGGACUCUUUCACUGUUAUUUGGUUAAAACAUCUAUCCUCAGUUACAGAUGCUUCUCCUGCCAGUUCGCUGAUAAAAGGUCAGUAACUAUCUGUUUGUUCUCUUAAAAUUACAUAAGAAGGGAAAGUGACACCGUGGGAAGUGGAAACUUCUCUGGUCCUAGAAUCAUAAGACCUGAUUUGAGUCGCGUCUGUGCCAUUUACAAGCUGUGUGACCUUGAGCAAGUAGCUGAACAACUUUGAGACCUAAUUUUCUCCCCUGAGAAAUUGGGAGUUUGAACAUUUUCCUAGUGUUGGUAUGAAAAAAGAGAGUAAAUGUGUUUUUUUUAUUUCUGCUAUGAAGGAUGUUAUAUAGUGGGCUAUAAAGUUGCAACAAGGCCAAGAAGAGAUUACAAAUGAGCUUUUGGAGUUGGCAGCAUGCUGUGAACUAACACCUAUAUUCUCAUCUCAUCUCUGACUACUCUCCCCCAAGCUCAUUAUGCCCUUGGCAGCUUGGCUUCUUUCAAUUCCUGAUACACACCAAAGCAUAGCUCCAGCCCUGGGCCUUUGCACUAGAUCUGUUACCUCUACCUAGAAAGUUCCUGCUCUGCCGCUCCGUGUUGCUCGCUCCUUCACUCAUUCAACUCUCAACCUAAAUGCAUCCUUCUCAGGGAAGCCUUCCCUAGCAUCUCAGGUAUUCCCAUCACAUCAACCUUAUCUAUGUUCCUCAUCUCACUUUUUUUUUUUAGCUACCAUUUUCUUCAUUUGUUUGUUGUCUUUCUCUUCCACCAUUAUCAGUUGUAGAAUGUAAGCUGUACAAGAGCAAGGACCUCGUCUGUCUUGUUCUCUGCUAUGUCUCCAGUACCUAGAAAAGUAUCACAUACUAGGUCCACAAUAAAUAUUUAUUAGAUCAAUAAUAUGUGCCAAUCUAUAUCACUGGAAACUUUACAUGCAUUGAAGCUCUCUAAGUAAUAUGGAAUUAAAUAAAAGUAAUGACUAAAUCAGAUCACUUAUAUGGCAAUAUAAAAAACAUGUAAGUUUUUGUUGAAAAAGAGUAAUACUUCCUAUGCUCGUCAGCUUUAGAAAUGAUACUGAAUCAGGUUCCAAGUCUUUUUUAUUGUUAUUGCUGCAAUAUCUCUCAUAAUUCCCCCGCUCUUUAAAAAAAAAAAAAGUCACUACUCUUCUUCAAAUUCUCAUUUCAAGUUAGGCCCAACUCAAAUAACUUUCUUGUCUUUAUUUGGUUUUCAUCUCCUGCAAACUGCCCAGGAUAGUAGUACUAGAUCUCUCGCCUUAAACCAUGUGUUUAGUAUUGUUAUAGAAAAUAAAAGUUCUCCAGUUAUUUCAUCUGGAAGAUCUUAAAACAUUCCCACUUUUUGAAAAACACUUUUUCAUGAAAAACCUUUGCCAUUUUCUAGCAACCAAAUUUAUAAACAAAUAAGUUUAUACUUCAGGAGACAUGGUCUAGUCUAAUCCUCUCAUUUUACAAGUGAGGAAAUUGGGGAUAUAAAGGCAAAAUAACUUGUUCAAUGUCACAGAGUUGAUAAGUGGAAACAGAUUUGACCACAGAACAAUAUGACUGUAGAACCUGGAUGCUCUGCCGUCCCUUACCAGGUAGUGGCAGAGUAAGAAAAGAGCCUAGGACUCCUGAUUCGUGGCAAAGGCCUUCUUCCUUUAUAGGCCUAGCUUCUCAUGCAGGUGAAAUCUAAGAUUCUCCAACACAUUGCAUAAUCUAGCUUUCCAAAUUAUCUCCUACCUUCCUUUUAAUGGGCACUUUGCUCUAGCCAAAUUUGACUAUUAGGUAUUUCUCAAACAUGCCCUACAUUAUCUUCAUUUGCUCACUUUUUUUCUCAUCACUUAGAAUAUCUUUUUUCUACACCUGCAAAGUUCAAAUAAUAGGCACUAGUAUGUAAGGAAAGGGAAGGAUUUCUUCAUAUUUUAUUUCAAUUGCUAUUGAUGUCAUAAAGUUUUUCCUUAUAUACUCCCACUAAGGGUAAUACAUCCCUCCUCUGAACUCUCAUUUCCCUAGAUUUGCAAUGUGGCAUUUUUCACAUUCUAACUGGUAUUUCAGCUUAGAAUUUAUGAAGAUUCCCUCUGAGCACCCUGAGCAUCGACUUCUUAAUAAUUUGGUACCAUCCGGUAUUCCAUGAUCCAAACUGGCCUUACGCAUGAUAAACACUUGAUAGAGUUUUAGAGAGAACCAAAAUUUAUUAAGAACCUACUUUAAUGUGCCAGGUAAUGUGCUUUGAACUGUACAGGUUAGCAUUUAUAUUACACAGAUAGGCAGUGAAGCAGGGAUUCCAAAACACAUCUGCUUAUUGUCAAGAUUUCUAUUCUUUUAAUGACACAGUCCUGCCAGGGAAAUUAAAUAUUUUUAAGGAUGCCAUUUUGUCACACUUUAAAUGUCACUGAGGCUUUGACCUAUUUGUGACAUUGAGUUCAACUCCUUGAAAAUGUUCACAGAUGAACCAAACUCAUCUUUUCCUGUGAGGGCAGCUGCUUCCAGGAUGAGCUUCUGGAGGGCAGCCAGCCCCGUGGUGCAGAGGCCAGGAGGAUGUGUGGGGAAUGGAUGAUAGAAGGCCUCCUAAUCAGGUGCUGUCUGAUGAACUGAAGUGAAACACUGCAAGCAGAAUGGGUCAAAGGAGAGAGAGGCACACAAUUUCAGGCCAGGCCACAAAGCCAGAAAAGAUCUGGAAAAUGUAACUGCAGAAUACAAAAUCAUCUGGAGUCUAACAUUUAAAGAUAGGGUGGUAGAUUACGAGAAAACUACCAUACAGUUCAUGAGGGUGGGGGGGAUCAAAGCUAUAUUUAACAAACUCGGCUAGGAGCAAGCUACAUAUUUAUUCUGCCUGGAAAGUACUUCUGGCAGUGUCUUAUUUGCUGUGUCCAAAAUUAGUAAUAUCAUGAAUAACUAUAACUUCAAAAAUGAAGAAUAUGAUUCUGUGUUUUAUACUUUGUACACGCACUUAUCCUAUUAUGUAACUGAACGGUGUGGGGAAAAGAGUAUAUCUAAUAUGAAAGAAAAAACCUCUGCCCCUGAGAAGUCCAAAUUCUAAAAAUGACUUAAUCGGCCAACUGUGACAAAAGCAAGGCUUUGAACAUCUCAGUAUCCCUGGAGUCUGUCUUCUCGUCAUUCACUUAUUGCCACUGUGACAUACCACGUGACAGUCUGCAUGGCCAGAAAUAUUAAUUACUGUCUGGGGAAGAUGGUAUUAUAUUUAAUACUCCUUUACUCCUAAUCCUACCAUUCUCCAAAAGUACAAUGAAGAGAUGGGCAGGCCUGGGGAUCUAAUGCUUUCAUACAUCAAAAGGUGACACAUUCCCAUUGCUACCAUAAGUUUUGCUAUAUCUGGGAAGAGGUCACUCUUUGAAAUUCUAUAUGCAAUUUUGGGAAAUAGAAUGGUGUUCCUUUUUUUUACCCUCCUAAAAAAGAAUGCUGAAGUUAUUUUCUCUCUUGCCAAAAAGAGAAGAAAAAAACGAGAAGGAGAAAUCAGUUUGAGAUUUGAUUGCGCAGACGUGAGAACAGAGGCAUUGCCAUACCAUGGCAGAUGACUCAUCCAGCCUUUAAUCUUGGCUCCAAACCCUGGCCUCUGCCUGAGGAUUCGGAGAAAGGCAAUAUGCCAUUCUAACUUGUAGACCAUUUAUUUAACAAGGUUUUCCUGACUUAAACCCUCUCUUUACUGCAAAGCUGUACAUUGGAGUAUGCUGAUUUAUGAAAUAAUAAGGACUUUUAAAGUCUUCAAGAGCUCGACAUCUGUUUAAAAAGAAAUAACUGUUUUAUCAGACCUAAAGUUUUUUUUGGCAGGGCUUCAAAGAAAAAUAACAAUUUCCUAUUCUCAUCUAGGUACAUGGAAGUUAUACUGAGGAUUUCUCCCCCUGAGAACACCAAUGAAGUCGCAGAUGUCAAAAUAUGUAUAAGAAUUUUGCCUAAUUCAGUACAAUAAACACUUAAUGUGCACAAACCAUGUAUCUAGCACUAUGCCAAGGUUUGUGCAGAUCAGAAAUGAAGAAAUUAUGUCAACAAAAUAUAUUAUGACAACAUGUAUUUUUUCAAAAUAAUAAUGACAAUAAUAAUAAUCAAUACAAUGUGGUAAGUACCUAAAGGAAGAGGACUGCUUUAUUUGCAUUCAGAGGAACAAGUAAGUCCCUUCAGGAAAUAUGGCUCCGGCUAAUGGGAGUUUUCCAAACCUAUCAAACUGGAAUCACUUACAUUUGGUUCAGCAUUAAAUUCUCUCUGCUCAGACUACUUAAUUUUAGAACUCUGAGAAUGGAUUUUUAAUGACAAGAUUUUUAAGGGUAAGAUUUUUACACAAUUAGAAUAAAAUAAGAAAUAAUUUGUAACCACGUUAUAGAACCUUUCAAACAUGUAUUAAAAUUCUGGGAGAAAAAUACAAACAGUAGAUUUUAGAGGUGGUAAAAUUUUCACUCUAAUAUUCUGUGUAUGUAUAUACAGAAAAGAUUGAAAUUAUUUUUCAGUAAUUGGAAAACAGUAAUAAAAGUUUUAAACAAUGUUUAAAAAUAUUAAGGCAGAUAAUAACGUCAACACAGCUUAUCUGGGAAGCAGAUGCUGAGAGAAAGUUAAGAGGGGAAGUUUCUUAGGGUUCAAUGCCUAAAAAAGAUAAAAGGCGUAAGAAGAAAAUGAAGCAGAGACAGCCUUCAACUGUGAUGCAGAGCUGACACCUGUGAAAGGAAAGAUGGAGAGGUAUAAGAAGAAGAAUUGAGUAGAGAGGGACUCAGACUACAAUGUAAAUCAGAUGUAAGUCAGAUAAAGUCUUGGCUAACUCAAUGGGGAGCUCCCGAGCCCAGCGUGCCCAUUAGAAGAGUACCACAUUGGGAAAAGAUGGCCUGGUCCUAAUAGCCCACCGAGUUGUCAGUGGCUGGGAGCUGCCCUUGUCAGUCCUUGUCUUUAGCUGAAUGCUGCUUCAGAUCUGGAAAGGUGCUGUAGCUGGAGGCCAUGAGCUAACUGCAUGGCCUCCAGGUGAAGGGCAAGCUCUUCCUGAAGGAAGAUCCAGUGGCAUAUCUCCAUGGCUGCCAGACAGAGUAGAGAAAUGGAACUUAUCGGUGUCUCUUCAGAAGUUUUGUUACAAAUAUCCAGAAAUAUUUCUAUAAUCUAAUCAGCAGAUUAUGAAUAUAUGCAUUAGACUUCAGUUUUGGUGCAAUCACAUGAAUUCCAUUUUGUGGAGUAAGAGGUGACUGGGGUAUAGGAUAUAACCCAUAGCCAUCCAUGUUCAUCUUCGUUUUGAAUAUAAUUGGCUAGAAGAUACACAUAUAUCUAUGUAACUUCCUCUAGCAUCCUCCAGUAUGGAGGCUGCAUUAAGACUGCAUGAAGGAGAGGGAGAGAAGGGAGAAACAGAGCAGUUGGACAAUAGGACAGGUAUAGGGAAUAAGGGAGAAGCCAGUAAGGCAGGAAAGACCCUCCGUGACAAAGGGGCAGGGAACAGAACUCAAACAUUUAAUGGCAGGUAACCCAGCUUAGAAUGGUAAAUUGAAAGGUGAAUAUAAAGGGAGAAUGGUGAAAUGAAUUUUCUGAAAUUAAUUGCUGUGUUUAUAGUUUUUAGCCAUGCAUCGGAAUCACCUCAGGACUCCACUCCCAAUCAAUUAUAUAUCUGGGGGAGGACCAAGGCGUUGGUAUUUUUCAGAAGCUCCACUGGUGAUUCUGACAGCACAGCUAGGAUUAAGAAACUGAUCAAUGGGAACGGCAUGCCUGUUGCAGAGGAGCUUCCCUGGGAAAUGUCACACACAGAACAUCAAUCUUCCUUCCCCACUCCUGAGAUCCCUCAUUCUUUGGCACCAGGAACAGCUGCAAUUAGUAAACCCUGGUUCCCUGCUGUCUCGCAAAUCACAAGAGUCCAACGUGUGGAUAUAAACUUUUGUUCAUGGGAGGAUCUUUCCCUCAGUGGAAAAGCAACUGGGAAAAGCAGGACACACUGUACAGUGACUGCAGUUUCAUCCAAUGCCACCACCCAUGCAGGCAUAAAUAAUGAACAUGGAUGGGGGAGUCUGGAGCUGCGGAAUUGAGGAAGAAAGAACACAGAAAUUAAAAUUCUCACAAAGGCUACCGUUAAGCUAGAGGAAGACCACACCACUGUGUGUCCACAAAGAUACAGAGCCAGGCCGGGUUCAGCCAUGCUGGUCAUCUGCUCUAUAUAAUACAAUUAUUUAGAGAUGGUGGGUAGAGAACAACUACAGAAAAAAAAAAAACUGCCAGAAACUAGAAUGUCAUUUUUACACGCUCAUUUGUAGAAUUCCUCCCAGUUUUUACUCAAGGGAACUUUAAAAUGAUUUUCAUUUGGGGAAAGAACUGUUUUGAGUUUACCCUAUAAGAUGGCCACUAAAACUCACCCACUUUCAUGAUUACCCAGCCAUCCUCAGAUCAUCUUCAUGAUUUUCCUGGAAAUAACGGAAGAGGCCCUGGGGAUGAUUUUAUUGGUAGAGUGGGAAUGUAUUAAAAUUCUCUACUUCCUUGUUACAUGGUCUUUCCUCCUCCACCCUACAAGGUGUGUGCUUGUAACUCAAAUUUCCAUUUGAGUAAUUAGCAAUUAUUAUUUAAAACUAACCUGAAAAUAAAAAUCGUAUUCAAUUCAUUCAUAGGGAGCAUCUACCUAUUUAUUAUUACCACAUAGGUGAUGUGACUCUAGAAACAUCUUGGUAUUCAAAUAGCCAAUUAAAAUAUAAAAUGUAAUGAUUUUCUAAAGCUACUCGUUUUCCUUCUCUCAUCUCUAUCUACUAAUUGGAAAGUCUAUUCUCCAAACACAGCAAAGAUGAUUGACAGAAUUCUAAAAAUACACAAAUUUCCCUAUUAAAGAGGGUGAAUGGAUGUUAGCACUGUAUCAGACACAUAAUAUUAAGGAGAUACCUGCUGUUUAACAUUAACAUUCUGUGUAGUUUUUUUUUUCAUCAAACAGACAUCAAAAAGUGAAUAAAAACAUGUCGUGAAAUUACCAAAUAAUAAAUUAACUUCCUGGAUACAAGGAAGUUAUUUUAGCAAGUUCUUUUUAAUAAAAGCAAAGAAUGGGGAUGUAACAAUUAGAGAAAUGUGGAGGAAAACAUAAGAAAGUUGGGAGAGGGAGGUCAAAUCUCACUUCCAGUUAUCAGUAAAGUGCACAUUCUUUUCUGUAUUCUGUGAGGCUGGAGGUGCUGCUGAUAGAAUGUCCUCACAUAUUCUGUCAAUGUCAGGAUGCAAACAUCAGUAAAUAAACCCUCGUGUCAAAA